UACGUAGGGGGCUAGCGUUGUCCGGAAUCAUUGGGCGUAAAGAGCGUGUAGGCGGCCCGGUAAGUCCGCUGUGAAAGUCAAAGGCUCAACCUUUGAAUGUCAGCGGAUACUGCCGGGCUAGAGUCCGGAAGAGGCGAGUGGAACUCCUGGUGUAGCGGUGAAUGCGCAGAUAUCAGGAAGAACACCAACGGCGAAGGCAGCUCGCUGGGACGGUACUGACGCUGAGACGCGAAAGCGUGGGGAGCGAACAGG
rnacentral:rRNA from 1 species